rnacentral:rRNA from 1 species
UACGUAGGUGGCGAGCGUUGUCCGGAUUUACUGGGCGUAAAGGGUGCGUAGGCGGUCUUUCAAGUCAGGAGUGAAAGGCUACGGCUCAACCGUAGUAAGCUCUUGAAACUGUAAGACUUGAGUGCAGGAGAGGAGAAUGGAAUUCCUAGUGUAGCGGUGAAAUGCGUAGAGAUUAGGAAGAACACCAGUGGCGAAGGCGAUUCUCUGGACUGUAACUGACGCUGAGGCUCGAAAGCGUGGGGAGCAAACAGGAUUAGAUACCCGCGUAGU